GAUCUUCUUAUCCCCCUUGAUCUCCCCGCCACCUUCAUCCCUCUAUCUCCUCUCUGUUCUCUCACAAGAACGUGUACCUCACUCUCCAAUCUGCACAAUCAGCAGAGAAAAAUCACCAAGAGCUAUCAAGACAACGAUCUACCAUCCUCGGACCACAAAAAUCAACUCCCUCAAGUACUCAAAAGCUCGCGGACGCGACGCGACAGAAAAAGAAGGCAGACGAAAAACGGCAUUCCGAAAUCUCGAACGGCUCAAAACACCAUCCGCAUAGUCGCCCCCCCCCCCCCCCCCCCAGCGGACCAAAUGCCCACGACACAAAACCAACCGGGUCGGCUCAAGAAUCACGAAGAACUUACGGAGAACCGAAAUGGCCACGGAAUUACGCAAAAUGCAGAGAGGAAAUCCGAAGCUCGACCGUCGCAACCAGCUACCAAGCGAACGGGAAAAGGGCAGGGGGGAAAAAAAGGCGGAGGCGUUCGUGUGCGGUUUAACCCAAAGAUCAAAGGCCAAAAAAAGAAAAGGAAAGGGCGAGUCUUAAGUGUUAAGAUUCGCCGAGUUCAGAUAAUGGGAGAGCGAGAGAGAGAGAGAGAGAGAGAUGGGUCUGAGAAUAAGGGCAUCAAGAAAAUGCCCCUCGGACUCGAGAGAUUAAAAAACGAAAGGACAGCCCAAGAAUGAAUAAAAAAUGACAAAAAGAGAGUACAGAGAUAAAUCAAGCCUAACCAUGGUGACCGAAGUUAAGCAGCAACAUUUCAAAGAAAGAGAGAGAAGGAAAAAAGGUACGACGUAGAAAAAGGUCCGACGAGCCUUAGAGAGAGAAACCGGGAGAGAGAGGUUCGCCUCCUGCUGUGCUGGCUGGCUUCCUUCCGGGUCCUUUCUUCCUCACCAGCCCCCACCACCACGAUGACCACCACCACCACCACCACCACCACCACUUUCUCUCUCUAGAAAACCGCAAGGAAAGUCGAUGGAGGAAGAAGGACCAAGACCACGAGCGAGGCGAGUUGAGUCGCG
rnacentral:lncRNA from 1 species